AAGCAACCUAAAUCUCUAUCAACAGAUGAAUAGAUAAACAAAAUGUGAUAUACACAUGCAAUUAAUUGUUACUCAGCCUGAAAAAAAGAAGGAAAUUCUGCAAAAUGCAACAACAUGCAUGAAACUCAAGGAAAUCAUGCUAAGCGAAACAAGCCAGUCAUAGAAAGUACAUGAUUCCACUUAUAUGAGCUUUGUAGAUAGAUUGUGGAUAAAACUGCAUAUCAGCUUCUCAAACUGCUGCAAGCACUGACCCCAAAGCAGAUGACACACGUCACCCAUGAUCAUCACUCAGCUCAAGAUUGAUGAUGAAGUACAAAAAAGUUAAAUGGGAGAAGAAUUAUGCUCUGGAGUAAAGGCUUCUUCGUCAGCCUCCUGAUGUUUAUACAGGAGAGUGAUCUUUGCUG